AUGAACGCUGGCGGCGUGCCUAAUACAUGCAAGUCGAGCGAACAGACGAGGAGCUUGCUCCUCUGACGUUAGCGGCGGACGGGUGAGUAACACGUGGAUAACCUACCUAUAAGACUGGGAUAACUUCGGGAAACCGGAGCUAAUACCGGAUAAUAUAUUGAACCGCAUGGUUCAAUAGUGAAAGACGGUUUUGCUGUCACUUAUAGAUGGAUCCGCGCCGCAUUAGCUAGUUGGUAAGGUAACGGCUUACCAAGGCAACGAUGCGUAGCCGACCUGAGAGGGGGGGAGGCCACACGGGUACAGCGACACGGUCCAGACUAAUGAGUGAGGGAGCAGUGGGGAGUUGGCCGCAAGGGGCGAAAGCCUGAAGAAUCAACUGAGGGGGAGAGAUUAAGUGAUUCGGUUAGUAAGACUGUUUUAUUAGUGAAGAACAAAAAAGUCAGUAACGAUGCCCGUCUAGACGCUACGUAAUUAGAAAGACGCCGCUAGCUACGUG
rnacentral:rRNA from 1 species